AAAGUUUGAUCAUGGCUCAGAUUGAACGCUGGCGGCAUGCCUAACACAUGCAAGUCGAACGGUAACGACGGGAGCUUGCUCCCGGGCGACGAGUGGCGGACGGGGGAGUAAUACUUAGGAAUCUGCCCAGUAGUGGGGGACAACUCGAGGAAACUCGAGCUAAUACCGCAUACGCCCUACGGGGGAAAGCGGAGGAUCUUUCGGGACUUCGCACUAUUGGAUGAGCCUAAGUCGGAUUAGCUUUUUGGGGGGGUAAAGGCCUACCAAGGCAACGAUCUGUAGCUGGUCUGAGAGGACGAUCAGCCACACUGGGACUGAGACACGGCCCAGACUCCUACGGGAGGCAGCAGUGGGGAAUAUUGGACAAUGGGGGCAACCCUGAUCCAGCAAUGCCGCGUGUGUGAAGAAGGCCUGCGGGUUUUAAAGCACUUUCAGUAGAGAAGAAAUGCCCAUGGUUAAUACCCGUGGGUCUUGACGUAACCUACAGAAGAAGCACCGGCUAACUCCGUGCCAGCAGCCGCGGUAAUACGGAGGGGGCGAGCGUUAAUCGGAAUUACUGGGCGUAAAGCGCGCGUAGGCGGUUUGGUCAGUCGGAUGUGAAAGCCCCAGGCUCAACCUGGGAAUGGCAUUCGAUACUGCCUGACUAGAGUAUGGUAGAGGGAAGUGGAAUUUCCGGGGUAGCGGGGAAAUGCGUAGAUAUCGGAAGGAACACCAGUGGCGAAGGCGACUUCCUGGGCCAAUACUGACGCUGAGGGGCGAAAGCGUGGGG
rnacentral:rRNA from 1 species